rnacentral:rRNA from 1 species
CUACGGGAGGCAGCAGGCGCGAAAACUUUACAAUGCGGGAAACCGUGAUAAGGGGACCCCGAGUGCCUGUACACGCAGGCUGUUCAGGUGUUUAAAACGCAUCUGGAGAAAGGGCCGGGCAAGACCGGUGCCAGCCGCCGCGGUAAUACCUGCGGCUCGAGUGGUGGCCACUAUUACUGGGCUUAAAGCGUCCGUAGCCGGGUUGUUAAGUCUCCUGGGAAAUCCAACGGCUCAACCGUUGGGCGUUCAGGGGAUACUGGCAAUCUAGGGAUCGGGGGAGGUGAGAGGUACUCUAGGGGUAGGAGUGAUAUCCUGUAAUCCUUGGGGGACCACCUGUGGCGAAGGCGUCUCACCAGAACGACUCCGACGGUGAGGGACGAAAGCUGGGGGAGCAAACCGGAUUAGAUACCCCUGUAGUC